CGAGACGCGCCUGCGCCCGGCGUUUGCGGCCGCGCUUCGCGCCGCCGCCGCCGUCUCGCGCGAAGAUUCGGUACAGCUGUCCCAUACCGCUUCAUUAUUGCUUCCUGCACAUAAAGUGCUUCCACUGCUUGGAUAUGAGCAGAUGAAGUGAGCACACAAUAUAAGAAGGUCAAUUUUCUUUCAUCCUCCAUCACAUCGGCCUGCUCUGUCUGGGACCUUCUUACAUCUUGAGGACAUCCAAAACAGCUGCUGCAAGCUCUCGUAUAGGCAUCUGAAUCUCACUAAUAGUCUGGAAAGUCUCUGUUACUGAGGAAGCUUGCAAACCACAUCUCUGUUACAGAUGAAGAUGCAGCUCUACUGGACUUGUUUCUCCAUCAAUUGUUUCUCCAUCUCCAGAUAUUUUGUUAUUUUCAAAAGUCCUGAAAGAAAUGGUAGAAUGGCCAAAGUUCAUACCAGAAAGUGUUUAUCCUCUAGCGGAUGUGUACAUCUCUACCUUGGUUUGCCUCCCAUGUAGACUAUUUAUAGUCAUCCAUUGGAUUUUCAUUAGCGGUAUAAUUGAUCUUUAUUCUGCUUUUGAAGUUUGUACACACCUGUCCUACAGGUUAGAGGUGAACUCAGUUUUAUCCCUCUGGCUACAGAUAGAUCUUAGUGCCUUAUUAGAUGUCUAUCCAAGUAGGUGGAGCUCUGUGUCAGACUGACAGCAGGUGAUUAGUAAGGCAGUCGUGGCAGUGUAUGCUCAGGCUCAUGCCUGACAUGUUGUAAGUUCGCUACGUUGCUCCAGCAAUAAGGUUCUCGGGAGGUCUGUUAAACACCAUUAAAAAAAAAAACUUGAUUUAAUUAGGAGACUGAAUUAUAAAGAUUAAUUUGAUAACUAAUUAUCACAAGUACAAAAUAGUAGAUUAGUAAUAUAGUAAGAUAAGUGAACAUUACCAAUGAGUUAUGAUUUAAAUGACCAAUUUUGCAUAUAGUAUUGCUGUAAUUCUUGUGUUUUAUCUUCAGAUAAUAGAUGUGGAAACUAAAGAAAGAUUUACUUAUUUUAUACUUUAAAUAGCCAAAAAAAAAACCUUCUGUCAUUUAGCUUUUUAUGAUCAAGAAUCUUGUUUUGUGUGAAAUCAUUAUUCACGUCUUAUUACAGACUUUAGUGGUCCUUGUAUUGUUUUGGUUGAAAAAGACAUCUAAGCACAACAGUUGCAAAUUGUCAGUGACUGUAUGUAGUGAUACAGUCCUUCAAAAUCAAUUUGAUCUCAGUUCAUGAAGAAAUUAAAUUGAAAUAAAAAGGAUUUAAAAUAAUUGCAGAAUUCCCUAUACGGAGUUGGACUAGAUGAUCUCAAGAGGUGAUUUCCAGCCUAAACAGGUGACUCUGUACAGUUACAAAAAUAAAAUAGCAAGUUUUAUUAGCAUUCUAUUAUUUAUAUCUAUAAUUUCAGAUUUUUUGCAAUGUUAUUUGUUAGUGGAAUUUUAUGUAUAAAUGUAGACAGCAUGAAGUCCAACUUGUAUAACAGCAUGACUGUAUAUGCAAAUAGAUAUAACAUGCUUCAAGCUAGAAUGUGACCUUUAUUUUUCUCAUUAAUUGUCACAUUGCCUAGAAUGGCUUUUCAUACAACCUACCUGUCACUUUACCAAAAAGAGGGGAGGGAAGGGGGUCCAUACGUCAGUGUGAAUGACAAACAAGUAGAGAUGCAUUUGGAGAAAUCUGUCUAGGUUCUUCUGAAACAUGAAGUAUUUUGCUCUCCCCUGGAAAAAUUACAUGACAGAACAAAAUUAAGAAGAAAGCACACACAUCCUUCGCAACGUUGCCUUAGCCAAGCUAGUCUGUUGGGUCAUGCGCGAAAAACAGCCAAGCCCUAGGACUGAGAUUGUAUUGACAAGAACAAGAUGAAUGGCCCCCUGGAGACUACAGGGUUUGUAUGCUCGUUUCCACCACCUUUUCAUCCUUUUGUACCCUCUUUCACUUCAUAUGCAGAUUAACUCAAACCAAGUCCUCACAGUCCUCACUAAAUACUCUUUUUCACUUUAGUUUUGGAAGGUAGGCAAGGAUCUAAAUAUUUAUGAGCUUUUUUCCUCUGGUUUAUGAUACACUCUUGUUGAAUGUUGAGGAAUUACGUUAAUGAAUGCAUGCCUGCACACACAGACACAGAAACCAGGCAAAAGGAAGAAACACACAAAGCGUUGUCAACUGUAAUGUCAGCACUUACUAAACAGUUCC
ensembl:lncRNA